CGCGUCCCGAUCCCAGAAUCCCCACGGUGACGCGGAUCCACCCCCAACCCACCUCCAGCCCCCGGCUCCGGCGACGCCCCUCUCGCCGACGACCCUGCCGGCCCGACGCGCCUCUCGCGGCCGCCGCCCCAGCCCCGGCGCGCCUCUCGCGGACGCCGCCCCAGCCCCGGCGCGCCUCCCGGCGCCGGGCCCCAUCCCCAGCGCACCUCUUUCCAUUCCCAAAUCGCCUCCCGCCGCCGCCCUCGAUCCCCACCACACCCCCACCGCCGCACAUCCGCCGGCCACUACAUACCCUGGCUCGGCUGCACACGACCGGGAUCCCCCAUCUCCCAGCUAACCUUGCAGCUGCACACCUCCUCGCUCGUCCUAAGGUGCCGGUCGUUCGAUCCACUCCACUGGUUGGGCGUUAUGUGAACUGCGGACGGAUCAGUGGUUGGACCAGCAGCAGUUUACUGUACCAACGCGGUUGAUCCCACCUGGCACACGUUCGCCUCUGUCGACGGCGGUCAGCACCUAGCUUCUGUUGCUUCCACGGCAACUGCUCAUGCGCACCUCGAACGCAUAACGAGUUGUCCCCUGGUUCUUCUUCUGCUCAUGGAGUUGGAGCGUGCUGCAACUUCCUUUCAUUUCUGAAACUCAUAUCCCUCCAAUUUAGUCCACGUAUUAUUCUUGUAGGUAGAUUUGAACAAUCUAAAACUGGAAAAAGAAUGCGUCAGUAUAGCUACUCAUUAGAAAAUGGUCAAGUGUAUGUUGCUUUUGUGGUUUUUGUGUGUGCUCGUAUUUGCAUAAUUUACCUCAAAUGAAAAUUCAGUUACUUGUGUACCUAUGUCGACAACAUGACAAAUUUUCUCACCACCAUCUAGUUUUGCUAAAAUGAGUUUGUUUGUCUUACCUUAUAUAUAUGUGAAGAAAAUUGACGGCAGCAAAUUUCUCCUGAAAAUAAGUUCAAAUAAAAACAUGGGAGAAGGUCACAUAUGUGUACCAGGAAAAUGUUUGCGCAAAAAUGCAGAAGACUUUACUAUCCAUGAGUUUGUGUACAUGCUCCUUUUUUGUGGCUGCUGCAGGCUGCAAGACCUGUCGUCGUCAUCCCCACUUAGCCCAUGUCAUGAAGCUUCGCUCCCCUACUACUGCUACACGUAAGUGCUCGUCUGCAAUUUGGCACGAAGUUGAACAACUUUAGCUAGAGUUCAGAUAACUGAAUGGCAGAGGUUGCUCUAGAACUACAGUAGUAUACUUCAGAGUUCAGAGUGCAGAUAAUUAAAUGUUCAUACAGUCAAAUCUGUUGGCCUCGUGAUUAUAUGAA